rnacentral:rRNA from 1 species
ACUCAAAUGAAUUGACGGGGAUCCGCACAAGCGGUGGAGUAUGUGGUUUAAUUCGUCGGUAAGCGAGGAACCUCACCAGGACUUGAAACUUGGCUGCAUUGCGUAGAAAUACACAAGCCUUCGAGGGUGCCAAGCAGGUGCUGCACGGUUGUCGUCAGCUCGUGUCGUAAGAUGUUCUGUUAAGUCAGGAAACGAGCGCAACCCCCAUCUCGUGUUAUAUUUUCACGAGAGACCGCCCAGAACAGAGCGCAUUUUUUAAGUGCGUUAUGUUCUGGGAGGAAGGUGGGGAUGACGUCAAAUCAGCGUGGCCCUCUGACGUCCUGGGCAACACACGUACUACAAUGGCCGGUACAAAGGGUCGCUAAGUCGCGAGAUGGAGCUAAUCCCAAAAAACCGGUCUCAGUUCAGAUUGGAGUCUGCAACUCGACUCCAUGAAGUCGGAAUCGCUAGUAAUCGUAGAUCAGAAUGCUACGGUGAAUACGUUCUCGGAUCUUGCACACACCGCCCGU